AGAGUUUGAUCCUGGCUCAGAACGAACGCUGGCGGCGUGCUUAACACAUGCAAGUCGAACGCGAAAGGGGACUUCGGUCCCCCGGUAGAGUGGCGCACGGGUGAGUAACGCGUAGAUAAUCUACCCCUAUAUUUGGAAUAACAAUUCGAAAGGAUUGCUAAUACCGGAUACCCUUGUUUGUACGCGAGUACGGACAAGGAAAGGUGACCUCUCCUUGGAAGUUACUGUAUAGGGAUGAGUCUGCGUACCAUUAGCUAGUAGGUAGGGUAAAGGCCUACCUAGGCUACGAUGGUUAGCGGGUCUGAGAGGAUGAUCCGCCACACUGGAACUGGAACACGGACCAGACUCCUACGGGAGGCAGCAGUGAGGAAUAUUGCGCAAUGGGGGAAACCCUGACGCAGCGACGCCGCGUGGGUGAAGAAGGCCUUCGGGUUGUAAAGCCCUGUCAGGUGGGAAGAAGUGUACCAUGGCUAAUAUCCAUGGUAUUUGACGGUACCACCAAAGGAAGCACCGGCUAACUCCGUGCCAGCAGCCGCGGUAAUACGGAGGGUGCAAGCGUUGUUCGGAUUUACUGGGCGUAAAGGGCGCGUAGGCGGUCUUAUAAGCCAUAUGUGAAAGCCCACGUCUCAACCGUGGAAGUGCAUGUGGAACUGUGAGACUUGAGUAUGGGAGAGGAAAGUGGAAUUCCCGGUGUAGAGGUGAAAUUCGUAGAUAUCGGGAGGAAUACCGGUGGCGAAGGCGACUUUCUGGACCAAUACUGACGCUGAGGCGCGAAAGCGUGGGUAGCAAACAGGAUUAGAUACCCUGGUAGUCCACAGCUGUUAACGAUGAUAACUAGGUAUAGGGGGUGUUGACCCCUUCUGUGCCGUAGCUAACGCAUUAAGUUAUCCGCCUGGGGAGUACGGUCGCAAGAUUAAAACUCAAAGGAAUUGACGGGGGCCCGCACAAGCGGUGGAGUAUGUGGUUUAAUUCGACGCAACGCGCUGAACCUUACCUGGUCUUGACAUCCCGAGAAUUUUCUAGAAAUAGUUAAGUGCCUCUUCACAGAGGAGCUUGGAGACAGGUGCUGCAUGGCUGUCGUCAGCUCGUGUCGUGAGAUGUUGGGUUAAGUCCCGCAACGAGCGCAACCCCCGCCUUUAGUUGCCAUCAUUAAGUUGGGCACUCUAGAGGGACUGCCGGUGUCAAACCGGAGGAAGGUGGGGAUGACGUCAAGUCCUCAUGGCCUUUAUGACCAGGGCUACACACGUACUACAAUGGCCGGUACAAAGGGCAGCGACACAGCGAUGUGGAGCGAAUCCCAAAAAAACCGGUCUCAGUCCGGAUUGGAGUCUGCAACUCGACUCCAUGAAGUUGGAAUCGCUAGUAAUCGUGGAUCAGAAUGCCACGGUGAAUACGUUCCCGGGCCUUGUACACACCGCCCGUCACACCACGAGAGUCGGUUGUACCAGAAGGCGUUGGGCUAACCCGCAAGGGAGGCAGGCGCCCAGGGUAUGGCUGGUAAUUGGGGUGAAGUCGUAACAAGGUA
rnacentral:rRNA from 1 species